GACAGAGGCCUCAAGCGUUAGGCGGAAUCGCUGGGCUUAAAGCGUGUGUAGGCGGAUCGUUAAGUGUCUUGUGAAAUCCCACGGCUCACCCGUGGAACUGCUGGGCAUACUGGCGAUCUUGGGCCAACUAGGGGCAACUGGAACAAGCGGUGGAGCGGUGAAAUGCGUAGAGAUGUGGAGGAACACCGAUGGCGAAGGCAGCCCCCUGGGUCAAGAUUGACGCUCAUGCACGAAAGCGUGGGGAGCAAACAGG
rnacentral:rRNA from 1 species